GGCAAGAGGUGUACAUAUAGCUUUAGCUUUAGCCAUAUUGAACCGCUGUAGUAACUUCUCAAUCUAUUUUUCUUGAGAUAGCCAUAACUUCUUCCAUUUUCUGUCACGGAUGAUCUUCAUGCCGAGAAUAUGCUUCGCUGGUCCCAAAUCUUUCAUUGCAAAGGACUUGCUCAACUCUUUCUUCAAACUAUCAAUCCUAAAAGAGUUAGGACCCACAAUGAGCAUGUCAUCAACAUAUAGUAGCAAAAUGAUAGUCAUUAUCAGGGAAUUUUUGCACAAAGACACAAUGAUCAAAAGUAGUCUUCUUAUAGCCUUGUUGAACCAUAACUUACUCAAACUUCUUAUACCACUGCUUGGGCGCUUGUUUUAAACCAUACAAGUUCUUCUUCAAUUUGCAGACAUAAUUCUCUUUUCCUUUUACCACUAAACCUUUGGGCUGUUCCACGUAAGUUUCCUCCUCUAAUUCACCAUUCACAUCCAUUUGUUCAACUUCUAAGUCAAGACUUGCAGCUAAACCCAAAAUAACUCAAAUUGAUGACAUUUUGACCAAUCAAUCCCUUUUUUCUGACUGAAGCCUUUGACAACCA
rnacentral:misc_RNA from 1 species